GACGAACGCUGGCGGCGUGCCUAAUACAUGCAAGUCGAACGAGAGCGCCCGGUGCUUGCACUGGUCAAUCUAGUGGCGAACGGGUGAGUAACACGUGGGUAACCUGCCCAUCAGAGGGGGAUAACAUUCGGAAACGGAUGCUAAAACCGCAUAGGUCUUCGAACCGCAGGGGUUGAAGAGGAGAAGAGGCGCAAGCUUCUGCUGAUGGGUGGACCCGCGGUGCAUUGGCUAGUUGGUGGGGUAACGGCUCACCAAGGCGGUGAGGCAGAGCCGACCUGUGGGGGUGAUCGGCCACAUGGGGACUGAGACACGGACCAAACUCCUACGGGAGGCAGCAGUAGGCAAUCGUCCGCAAUGGACGCAAGUCUGACGGAGCAACGCCGCGUGAGUGAAGAAGGUGUUCGGAUCGUAAAACUCUGUUGUUAGAGAAGAAUAAGUGCUAGAGUAACUGUUAGCGGCGUGACGGUAUCUAACCAGAAAGCCACGGCUAACUACGUG
rnacentral:rRNA from 1 species